rnacentral:rRNA from 1 species
AUGGAGAUUCCACCGGGGUUCUCUACGUCUGAGACGGUUGGCAAGGUAUGCAGGUUAAAGAAAUCUCUUUAUGGCCUGCAACAGUCUUUGAGAGCAUGGUUCGACAAGUUCAUACAUGCUGUAUGUAGUAUGGGGUAUGGGCAGUGUAACGGUGACCAUACACUGUUCUACAGACAUAAAGAAGGAAAAAUCACUAUACUUGCAGUAUAUGUGGAUGAUAUUAUUAUCACAGGGGAUGACAAAGAAGAAAUAACAAGACUGAAAGUGUGUUUGGGUAAGGCCUUUGAAGUCAAAAUAUGUGGGCCAACUCAAAUACUUCUUGGGCAUAGAAGUGGCUAG